UACGUAGGGCGCAAGCGUUGUCCGGAAUUAUUGGGCGUAAAGAGCUCGUAGGCGGUUUGUCGCGUCUGCUGUGAAAACUCGAGGCUCAACCUCGGGCUUGCAGUGGGUACGGACAGACUAGAGUGCGGUAGGGGAGACUGGAAUUCCUGGUGUAGCGGUGGAAUGCGCAGAUAUCAGGAGGAACACCGAUGGCGAAGGCAGGUCUCUGGGCCGCAACUGACGCUGAGGAGCGAAAGCAUGGGGAGCGAACAGG
rnacentral:rRNA from 1 species